UGGGGAAUAUUGCACAAUGGGCGAAAGCCUGAUGCAGCAACGCCGCGUGAGUGAUGAAGGCCUUCGGGUUGUAAAGCCCUGUCUUUUGGGACGAUAAUGACGGUACCAAAGGAGGAAGCCACGGCUAACUACGUGCCAGCAGCCGCGGUAAUACGUAGGUGGCAAGCGUUGUCCGGAUUUACUGGGCGUAAAGGAUGCGUAGGCGGAUUUUUAAGUGAGAUGUGAAAACCCUAAGCUUAACUUGGGGACUGCAUUUCAUACUGGAAAUCUAGAGUGCGGGAGAGGAGAAUGGAAUUCCUAGUGUAGCGGUGAAAUGCGUAGAGAUUAGGAAGAACACCAGUGGCGAAGGCGAUUCUCUGGACCGUAACUGACGCUGAGGCAUGAAAGCGUGGGUAGCAAACAGGAUUAGAUACCCUGGUAGUCCACGCCGUAAACGAUGAGUACUAGGUGUAGGAGGUAUCGACCCCUUCUGUGCCGCAGUUAACACAAUAAGUACUCCGCCUGGGAAGUACGAUCGCAAGAUUAAAACUCAAAUGAAUUGAC
rnacentral:rRNA from 1 species